UACGUAGGGUGCAAGCGUUGUCCGGAUUUAUUGGGCGUAAAGAGCUCGUAGGCGGCUUGUUGCGUCGACCGUGAAAACCCGGGGCUCAACUUCGGGCUUGCGGUCGAUACGGGCGGGCUAGAGUUCGGUGGGGGAGACUGGAAUUCCUGGUGUAGCGGUGAAAUGCGCAGAUAUCAGGAGGAACACCGGUGGCGAAGGCGGGUCUCUGGGCCGAUACUGACGCUGAGGAGCGAAAGCGUGGGGAGCGAACAGG
rnacentral:rRNA from 1 species